GGUUAGUUUGCGCGGGAAGCAGUCCGGUGCAGAAUCCGUCGACAGCUGAGGAGAGGUUAAUUUUAAUUCAUAUGAUUAUCGUUUAUCAGAACAGAACUGAAUUGAGAAGAGUAGAGAAAAAGAAGAGGUUGAAAACCAAAAUCAUAAUUCAUAACAUUGAUUAAUAGCAUAUGAACAAGAAGGAGGAUAAUGAGAAAGGAGGAGUUAAAGGUUGGAUCGACGGCGAUGAAACCGCUCACUAUAUGCUACGUAGGAUCUCCGCCCUCCGAUCCACCCUCCUCGUUCCGCCGCUGCACAGGGUUCCGCUCCGCCUCGGCAACGUCAUCGAGAUCUUCGGUCCCUCACCCUCCGCCAAAACACAAAUUCUCAUUCAAGUUGCUAUAAAUUGUGUACUUCCGAAAGAGUGGAACGGGGUUCGCUACGGUGGUUUUGACCAUUCCGUGCUCUUUGUUGACCUCGAUUGUCGCUUCGAUAUCUCGCGCUUCUCGCAAAUGCUCACUCAUCGGAUUAUGGAAGGUACUGCGAUUGGGGAUUGUGAUAAGACGCUGUAUGAUUUGUGCAUGCAACGCUUCUUGUAUGCCCGGUGUUCCAACAGCUUCGAAUUCCUUCAGACUCUCAAGAGUUUACAUUAUCGCUUAAAAAGGGAGAAAGAUCAUGGGGUUAGUGUGCAACUGCUACUGAUUGACAGCAUUGGAGCUUUUCAUUGGGUAGAUCGGGCAUCAAUGUUCUUGUCUCUAAAAGAACAUAAUAGGAAAAAGCUUUUCUUACAGAGUGUAUCAGAAGCUGUAGUUCAAGAUAUUAAAAAACUACUUCAGGUGCAUCCUAUGUUAGUUAUAGCCACAAAGUCGGUUAUUUUUGGAAAUACAUACUCUACGGCUUCAGAGGAGGUCAACGGGUGUUCAAGAAAUGUAACAAGAAGCCCACAACAUACUCAGUAUCGUGAGUACAUGCCUUCAGUCUGGCAGUCACUAUUAAUAUUUCUAAUUUUAUGGCGCCCCUUACGUUCUUGCAGUCCUUUGUUACACAUAGAAUACUUCUACGCCGUUCAGAUGAUCAACCUGUUAUAAGCAAUUCUGAAAACUCCUCAUUGUAUGUGUUGGAAUGGUUAUUACCAAGAAUUGGACUUCCAGACAAGAUUAUAGUGAAGGAUAAUGGUGUUUUUGUUAAUUCAUGAACCAUGGUUGCGGACGGUGCCAAUUAUGGCUGAUGUAAAUAUAGGUUCAGCAAUGCUUUUAUAAAAGGGCAUGUAACUGUCUUCAUUGGUCACAACAUCAUGAAGCAAAUAGGAUCCAAGUCUUUCUGAAGAUCCAUUGCAUCAGAAUUUAAGUUAUUCUUGCGUGCUAUAAGAGGGAUCUCAUAUUGCAACCUGAUUUAGGAAAGCUUCUGGGAUCGAGCACUUGGAAAGCUCCAAGAGGUCACAAUCACAAUUUUACUCACCCUAGUUUAAUUAAUUGCCAACUUAGAUGAAAUUUGGUGCUUACAUGUGAUUUUCUGGUGGCAAUUGUUGAAAUGCACAGAAUCAUUUACUUGUGUAUUUGAAGAUAAACAAUGUUAGUUAACUCAAAUAAGUAACAAGAUAUAGGUGUUGACUGUUGAGAAGUGCAUAGUGCAAUAUAAAGAGAGUAUUGCCUCAUGACACAAGUAUAACUUUCUAAUAACCGCUAUCUUUUCUUUCUCCAAUAUCCUCUUUACUUACUUAUUUCUAACAUAAUAUGCAUAUUAAGUUUUCUAGCAUAUCACUUCCUGUACUUGUGAAUGGAUAAAAAGGAAAAUAGGUAUAAUGUAAUACUAUCAAUUAAAUUCACGUAGCUGUAUAUUGUCUUAAGCAGAAUGCAACUCCUCAAACUUGCAAUGACUAGGUAGCAAAAACUUUAUACCCAUUAUGGUCCUAGUUUUGUACAAUCUUAUCGAAUAUUACUUGUGUAUUUCAAUAGGUUCUAGUGCUGCAA